rnacentral:rRNA from 1 species
GGAUGAUGUCAAGGCCAGCAUGACCUUUAGUAUCCAGGGCUACACACACGCUACAAUGGUCUGUACAAUGGGUAGCCAAGCCGCGAGGCGGAGCCAAUCCUGAAAGCAGGCCUCAGUUCAGAUUGCAGUCUGCAACUCGACUGCAUGAAGCCGGAGUUGCUAGUAACCGCAGGUCAGCAAUACUGCGGUGAAUACGUUCCCGGGUCUU